UUUGGGGUGACGGAUCUGGAAUUUGAGGUGAAGGAUUUGGUUUUUGGGAUGAAUUUUGUGGGUGCAGGAUUUGGAUUUUGGGGCGAAGGGUUUGGAUUUUGGGGUGAAGGAUUUGGAAUUUUGGGAUGAAUUUUGGGGCGAAGGAUUUGGAUUUUGGGGUGCAGGGUUUGGAAUUUGGGGUGAAGGGUUUGGAUUUUGGGGUGAAUUUUGGGGCGAAGGAUUUGGAUUUUGGGGUGAAGGUUUUGGAUUUUGGGGUGAAUUUUGGAUGAAUGAUUUGGAUUUUGGGAUGAAUUUUGGGGUGAAGGAUUUGGAAUUUGGGGUGAAGGAUUUGGAUUUUGGGAUGAAGGAUUUGGGAGAUUUGGGAUGAAUUUUGGAUGAAUGAUUUGGAUUUUGGGAUGAAUUUUGGGAUGAAGGAUUUGGAAUUUGGGAUGAAUUUUGGGGUGAAGGAUUUGGAUUUUGGGGUGAAUUUGGGGGUGAAGGAUUUGGGAAUUUUGGGAUGAAUUUUGGGGUGAAGGGUUUGGAUUUUGGGAUUUGGAUUUUGGGAUGAAGGGUUUGGAUUUUGGGGUGAAAGAUUUGGGAGAUUUGGGAUGAAGGAUUUGGAUUUUGGGGUGAUGUAUUUGUUUUCUGGGAUGAAGGAUUUGGAAGCAUUUGGGAACUUUGGGGUGAAGGAUUUGGAUUUUGGGAUGAAGGGUUUGGAUUUUGGGGUGAAGGGUUUGGAUUUUGGGAUUUGGAUUUUGGUAUGAAGGGUUUGGAUUUUGGGGUGAAGGGUUUGGAUUUUGGGAUUUGGAUUUUGGGAUGAAGGGUUUGGAUUUUGGGGUGAAUGAUUUGGGCUUUGGGAUGAAAUUUGGGAUGAAGGGUUUGGAAUUUUGGGAUGAAGGAUUUGGGAGAUUUGGGAUGAAUUUGGGAUUAAGGAUUUGGAUUUUGGGGUGAAGAAUUUGAAAUUUGGGAUGAAGAAUUUGGAUUUUGGGAUGAAUUUUGGCGUGAAGGAUUUGGAUUCUGGGGUGAAGGAUUUUGGGGC
rnacentral:lncRNA from 1 species